CGAAAGCCUGACGGAGCAAUACCGCGUGAGGGAGGAAGGCUUUUGGGUUGUAAACCUCUUUUCUCAAGGAAGAAAAAAAUGACGGUACUUGAGGAAUAAGCAUCGGCUAACUCCGUGCCAGCAGCCGCGGUAAUACGGAGGAUGCAAGCGUUAUUCGGAAUUACUGGGCGUAAAGCGUCCGCAGGUGGUAUUUCAAGUCUGCUGUCAAAGACCGAAGCUUAACUUCGGAAAGGCAGUGGAAACUGAAAAACUAGAGUACGGUAGGGGUAGAGGGAAUUUCCAGUGUAGCGGUGAAAUGCGUAGAGAUUGGAAAGAACACCAGUGGCGAAGGCGCUCUACUGGGCCGUAACUGACACUCAGGGACGAAAGCUAGGGGAGCG
rnacentral:rRNA from 1 species